rnacentral:lncRNA from 1 species
GGACAGUUGAAGAUCAUACGCUCAUACAUGCAAGGGGUUGUGUGUUUACAUUUAGUGUCAAAGGGAGAUGGAGAAGGGGAUAUUGGAAAUCAUUCCAAAUGGUCAGAGAGGGGGCAGACGUGCCUGGCAGCUCCAGCUCAGCAGAGAGAACAACAGCAAGUUCAGAGGCUUGGAAAGGAGAGCAAGCGCGAUGAGCUCCACAAGAGAAGGAAGGCCAGUCCAACACAAGCACAGUAGACAAUGCAAUAGUGGCGUCAGAUGGGAAACAGGAUCGGCUCCAGUGUACCUGCAGAGAGCAGGAUGAGCAGGCAGAAAAGCAAGGAGGAAACUUCAGGGUGUGCAUCGCUGCUCUGUGGACUCUUCCAACCACAGACCCGCUCCACCAACACAGCCUGGACCACACAUGCAUCUGUCUAUGAGGACAACAGGAACAUUCUGCCAGGUUUGGUGAUUAAUAGUCAUGAUACUGCCAUAGUAAAACUCUUCCAAGGGUUUACACAAAGGAGUUUAGUCAUCGGCCCACUCUUUCCAUUAAAUUUAAUGUAUAGGCUCUGAAUUUCAGUGUAGUGAAAUCUCAACAGCAAAUUGUUCCAGAGAAAUGAGUUGCAGUGGGGGCUGAGGCCAUGAUGCUCAGAAACAGAGGUAAGAUGUGAUUACUUCAAGGAAACAAGAGCAGCGUCACAUUGCAAGGACAGGCCUGGUGCACAGUAACCACACCUCCUUUUGCCCCCGUACGUCCCAUUUCACCUAGCCCCCAAGUCACCACACACAAUUCAGCCUAAGUAUUCUGUGGGUACUGGAUUGUAAUAUUGUCUUGAACAUUGUAAAACACCUAUGAACACAAUUUAAGAAAAAAAACUAAAGGAGCACCAUGUCCCAAUCUUAUCCAUGCAUUUUUCAGGAAUGUAUUUUUCACUUGUAAUAUUUAAAACAAGCUCCUAAUAAAUAUGGUACCAUAUUUAUUAUUAUG